UUUGGUGAACUUUUCAUUCUGCUCAAGAAGAAUGAAGAGAACAAAUUAGAUUGAAAAGUGUGUACACGGGGCGGUGCGCUAGAUUGAGUGCGUAUGCGUGGACAAAAUCUCGAAUUAGUUAAAUUCCAGCAGUAAAUCUACGUUCGUUCGGGAGAAAAGUGUGAAGUGUAGUCGGUCAGUCCUAGUUCUCGGAGGCAGUAGCGACGAAAUAGUGGUCUGCAUUAGGGUACAGCAUAAUUCCUACACUGCUGGCAUAGUAGACAUUACGACACGCGAAGGCGAAGCGUAUCGAGUGAUAUCCUCCAUACGGCAGUACAACAAGAUUGCGGCAGCGGUGGACGAAUUGGUAGAAGAUAAUUUACGGCAUUUUCGUACUCGCUGUUUUGAUAGGUGAUCCCCGGAGCGUGGGAAGCUUCUGGCCGAAGAAAUUGUCCACAGCACCAUCGUGCGCUUGUACGGCUGUAUGUGUUUGCGCGAGUGAGUGUGUGUGAGUGUGUGCUUGUGCCUGACGCGUAUGUCAUUUUUCGGCCCUUGUGCGUGAAAAGCAACGACGAAGAGCAGUGUAGUGUGUAAGCGCAGUGCAGCUUGCUUUAUAGCUGGUGGCACGGAAAGAAAAAAGCCAACGAAGUGAUUUUUGGUCCACAGAUUACGAAAGAAACGAUAGUCAUUGGAACCAAUACGCACUAGUGGUCGGCUGUUGGCGGCUGGAACGCGAAACUCAUAGCGCUAGAGAACGGUGACGUCAGAAAGGAUCUGAAAAGGAUAACGUGUAGCGAACAUGGCUGGCCAAACGAUCAAUGACAGGUUGCUGGCAGCACGACACAGCCUUGCUGGACAAGGGCUGGCAAAAUCCGUGUGCAAGGCUACGACGGAAGAGAUGAUUGGCCCGAAGAAAAAACAUCUUGAUUACUUGGUACAUUGCACCAACGAACCGAAUGUAUCAAUUCCCCAUCUUGCCACCCUACUGAUUGAGCGAUCUCAGAAUGCCAAUUGGGUGGUGGUAUACAAAGCAUUGAUCACAACCCAUCACAUGCUGGCCUAUGGAAACGAGCGAUUUAUCCAAUAUUUGGCGUCAAGCAAUUCGUCCUUCCAGUUGAACAACUUUCUCGAUAAGGGUGGAGUGCAAGGCGCUGUCGGUGCUCGUAUGGGUUAUGACAUGUCUCCGUUUAUACGGCGCUACGCAAAAUAUCUCAACGAGAAGGCACUGUCGUACCGUACAGUGGCCUUCGAUUUCUGCAAAAUGAAGCGCGGAAAGGAGGAAGGUUCGUUGCGCGUGAUGCACGCCGAUAAGCUGCUGAAGACGUUGCCCAUUCUGCAGGCUCAGUUAGAUUCGUUGCUGGAGUUCGAUUGCACUGCAAACGAUCUGACAAAUGGAGUUAUCAACAUGUGCUUCAUGUUAUUAUUCCGCGAUUUGAUACGGCUGUUCGCUUGCUACAACGAUGGCAUCAUUAAUCUGCUGGAGAAGUAUUUCGACAUGAACAAGAAGCAAUGCCGCGAUGCAUUGGAUUUGUACAAAAAGUUUCUCACCCGUAUGGAUCGUGUUGGAGAGUUUCUCAAGGUCGCAGAGAACGUUGGCAUUGAUAAGGGCGACUUACCAGAUCUUACCAAAGCGCCGAGUUCUCUGCUAGAUGCGCUGGAGCAGCAUUUGCUGGCUCUAGAGGGCAAGAAGGGAUCGGCAGCGAACACUCCCACCCAAACGGCAAGUAAUCAAAAGAAUGUUAAAAGCGGUGUGAAUGCUCUUACAUCGACCAGCUCGUCGUUUGGGAUUGUGGCGGAAUCAAGCAAGUUUGACAGUCCCACCAACGGUAUGAUCGACGAAAGCUUGAAAGCUCAGGUGUUGGCUGAAGAAGAGGCUGCGAUGAACCAGUACAAGUCAAAAGUAUCAUCACCAACAACGGCCACGGCUAUAACAAAUCCGUUCCUGUCGUCUCCAACCACUAGUCAAAAUAACAUCGUCGAUCUGUUUGAGGCUCCAAAACCUGUGCAGGACCAGCAAGCGGCCGCUGCGUCGUCUAAGGCGUCGGAUGAUUUACUGCAGCUGGGCAAUCCGUUUGCAGAUGUUUUCGCCACGCCAGCCCCGGUCGCUAGUACGGUUCCGGCAGGAAGCACCAAUGCGUUUGCAGCCACCAAUGCAUGGAUGGGCAAUGGAGGGUUUAAUGGCAGUAUGGCAGCCGCAGCGGUCCCUGGAAUGGCCGGGCAAGCUGUCCCGGGCGGUGACACAUUCGUUUCCGACAACAACUUUACUUCCGUGUUUGGUGGUAUGGAACAAAAUGGAUCCAGCGCGCCUCCGGCCGCUGCCACUCAACCUGGCAAGGUGUUGACGGGCGAUUUGGAUAGUUCACUGGCGUCGUUAGCCGAAAGUCUUACCAUCAACAAGUCCAGCUGUGGGAAAAAUAUGCAGUGGAGCUCUCCGAAGACAUCGGCCAAAACUGGAUCGGCUGGAUGGUCCCCGCAGCCCCAACCGGCUACCAAUCAAACCGGCUACAAACCAAUGACUGACAAUUGAAAGUUGGUUAGUAACGUUGCUAGUCAUUAAUAAUAUACCACCUAAUAAUACCUAAUUCGAAUAUCCUUACUCGUUGUUGGCUCGCGUCGAGCGACUAAAUCGAUCCCGAGUUCACAUAAUCGUUUAGACUAACACCUUUAAUAAUAGCACACAUCCGUAUCGGGAAUGAAGUUGCAAUGGUUCCGAGCGAACCACCAACCCGUUCGUUUUCCUUUCUUAAGUUUUCAUUCAAACUUAUCACCCUUGUUUUCCUAAGGAGAGUGCGUUGCUUGAAAAAGCGAGUGGUUCUUAGCGGUUGACCGUGUAGCUGUGCGUAGUUAGUGAAACGUGAUCCUUUUUUUUUUGUUUCUGUCACAGUAAUGUGAUAACGAAUAUUAGUAAUUUUUAACAGCAAAGAGAGGCUAUUAUCCCUGUGCUAUAAGUGUUUCCAUUCUUUUAUAGUUAGUCUGCUAGUGUAAUAUACUCGUACCGGUUGGUUCGAUUGUGUGCGCGGUAGUGUUUGUUUUACAUUCUAAUAUUUUUAGUGUUAGUCGUUUUGAUUACCCUUAUCAGUUGUUAAUUUAAUUUUUAUUUCUUAUCUUUUCUCCUUUUUUCGGUGAAAUUUCCUUUCCUUUCUUUUCUUCACAUUGCUGUAUUUUGAUUAACGUGUGUGCUAUCGAUGUCGAUGUUGUUUUGGCUUGAAUGUACAAUUGUGUCUGUCUGAUUAUUAUGCCCUAUGUAUGUACGUUUUUGGUUUUGUUGAUCUUUGUUGGGAUGUGUGUAUGUGUUGUAUGUGCGCGUGUUGCGGUUGUUCUCCCUUUUUGCGGGUGAAUAAUAAUACUACGGUUGCGCUGUGACACAAGGCACAAGGUAUGGCUGUAUUUCCAGUUCCUAGCACAAUACAUCCAAGCACGCACACUCCCCUUCCUGUUGUAGUGCCAGGAUAUUACAUUCAGCAAGGAAUGUCCCAGAUCAGGCCAAUGAUGGGUGCUACCAUGUCCGGAACAACAUCAGCAACAAUGGCCCCUGGAAUGGUCCCUGCGGGCAUGGCCCCCCCGCAACCGGUGCUUACUAGUCAACAACCACCGAUGCACAUGCAACCGGUAAUGAUGCAACAACCAGCGCCAGCGAUGCCUUCCAACGCGGCGGCGGCGGCGGCUGGCAAUAUUCAGUUGGAUCCAUUCGGAGCACUCUAAGCACUGAAUUAUGUGUUAUUCAGAGGCACCCACUCAGACCUAUACCCAUACACACCUACACUUAUCGCGGGAUGUGUAGAGCAUUAAUAAGUAGCAGUGAGCAGUCAGCUAGAACCGUUUUCUGAUAAAUGUGUACGGACGGACUUUCUUUUUCUUCUUCUUUUUGCUUAGAAGUGAGAGCAAAAUGGAGUAUAUUAAGUUUACCUAGAGGUUGAAGAAUUGUGACAACAAUCGUUUGCAUAAUGGUGCGAGGCAACCAUCCCCGUAGAAGGAAUGACAAAAUGGCGCCGAAAGUGUGCCCAUCUCGCAACACGAGCAUUACCGCUGGAACUCUUUCAAUGUAAAAAUCAAGGGGGAAUGUAACGGUGAAGAUAAUGGUGAUUAUAGAGCAAAACUUGCCCGCUCCUACUGUUUGUGCUAAUAACGCGCUAAUGCUUGAGCCGCACUAUGCAUGGCAUAGUCAAAUGCAAGCUGGAGGUUAAUUAAUUAGCACGGAAGAUUACAAUACAUCAUAGAAGAAGAAGACUGUGCAGCAUGUCGAUAGGCAAACGCAUGUGCUGGUGGUGUGGUGGACCUUGAUUCGCAUAUGCGCGAGCCAUUUCUGCAUGACAUGAUAAUUUGAUACACGGCUGGCAGCAAUCGUGUGAGGAUAAAAAGAAGAAACCAUUCCAAUACCAUCGACAAGCACCAUGGACGAUUUGGGGGAGCAUUCUAGCAUGUUGGUACACUCUUCUGGACUAGCAACACGACGGAAUGUUGCUUCACACGCAGGCGUGGAAGUAAGUGUGUGGCACGGGAUAGAAAGGCCUGUCGUUUCUAAUCAUUCCAAUCCGUGAUUUCGCUGUUUUUUCGAUUCAGUAACGACUCAAUGUGCUAACAAGCGUGCUGUAUACGCGGGUGUAUUGAUGGUCCUUUUUUGUUUUGAGCUAUACUCCCUGCACACCUAUUUCGGUGGGUCGGUCGGUGGGUAUGAAGCAAGAAUUAGUUUGUUUAUAGGAUCCUCCGUGUGCAGGUUGGAUACGCGGACGCUGCAGUAUCAUAUAAGAAUAUCGUAUAACAAUAAUGGGAGAAGGAAUGAAAUGUAAAUGAUGGUAGAAAAACAAGGCGUAAGGGCUACGCAUAUUUCCCCGUAGUGGACAGUGGCUUCUUCGGCAAUAUGCUGUUAGUGUGUUGCUUCUGUUGCAGUAUUACCGCUGCUUCGACAUUCAUAUAUGUAUCUAACGAAAUGCUACAAAGAAACUGUUGUUGUUCUCUAUUGAAUAUAGUUGUGUUUACAAAAUCCGCAAGCAAAGCAAUGAAACAAAAAGAUGCCGCACCCCGCCCCUCCUAAUCGUGUUCUUCACCCUCCCUCCGCUUGAUCUAUCUAGUAACGGAAUGAAAGCCGACCUAUAGCCGGCUGGCUAUCCUGUGUUUCCGCAAACAAGUGCAAAUACUACAAAAGUAGAAAUUAAUAAUAACGAUAUGAGUAAUCUUACAAUACGGACGGCAAGUGAAGGCAAGUGAAGGCUGGGGAAACACUGUCGUAUGAAGGUGGCAAUUCGUAUGCAUGUAUUUAUGAAUAUAAAAAUGUAGUAAUAUUAUAUCUAUACUGUACACAUUACUGUAUUUUGGGCUGCAAGAUGUGCGCGGGCUCGUGGAUGGCAAGAAAAUACAAUAAGUAAAUACAUUAUAUCGUACCAGAAGGACACACACACACAUACAUAUAUAUACACAUACUUCUUGCUGUGAAGGAAGCUUAUCAUAUAAUACUUAGAACGUAAUGUGUUGUGUUUAUUCCCCUGAAAGCAGAUAGUGCAAUAGGGCCAGUUGUUUACUAAUGAAGAUGAUAAAUGUAAUGCGAGAGGGAAGUGAGGCGACGGUGGGUUGUGACGGAUAAGAGACAAAGUGAGUGUACUUAUCGCCGCCCAACAGCGUAGCGAAGGCGCAACUGCAGAAUCUAGGAUCGUCCGAAAUCACCCAACAUGUUAUUGGUUUGCCUUGGCGGAAGCUUGUGUUGUUGCCAGCAUUCAGACGCUAUUCAAUCAAUUGCUAUUUGAUGUUGCACGAACGAUAGCGUGGUGCAAUGGUUGGUUUGUUACUUGCCUACUUUUAAUGAGCAGAUUCCGUUCUGUCUGAUAGCCGCCAAUACGUUUGCAUGCCAUAGAGCGAGCAGUAGUAGAAAGAUGAGAUAAGGAAGGGUACUACAAUAAUUUGCAAUUUUAAGUAAACUGUUUUUUCGCUUCCGAAGCGUGCGGAGAGUUAUCGGCCGAGAAGUUUGACGAAGCUUUGGUUGAAAUUUAAAUGCGACAUAUAAACUUCUAAAAUUACAAAACAGAGAUGGUUACAUGCGUAUAUAUAUAUAUACACAUAUACAUAUAUGAAAUUAGGACUCAAUGAAUAAAACUGAAAAAGGUAUAGUAGGAAUGUA